UACGUAGGGGGCAAGCGUUGUCCGGAAUCAUUGGGCGUAAAGAGCGUGUAGGCGGUCCGGUAAGUCGGCUGUGAAAGUCCAGGGCUCAACCCUGGGAUGCCGGUCGAUACUGCCGGACUAGAGUACGGAAGAGGCGAGUGGAAUUCCUGGUGUAGCGGUGGAAUGCGCAGAUAUCAGGAGGAACACCAAUAGCGAAGGCAGCUCGCUGGGACGUUACUGACACUGAGGCGCGAAAGCGUGGGGAGCGAACAGG
rnacentral:rRNA from 1 species